rnacentral:lncRNA from 1 species
GCUAGCUCUCCGCGGGCCGGACAAAAUCUGUCCGCGGGCCGGAUGUGGCCCUCGGGCUGUAGUUUGGAGACCCCUGGUUUAGAAGAAGUAUGGAUUAAGAUAUGCUUAUUAAAAACUGUGAAGAUAGUCGUAAGAGUGUCUAGAAAACAGAAAAUUAGAAUAAUCGCUUGCAUAGUUCUAGUUUUUUUUGCAAUAUUAAAGAAUUCUGCUAUCAAUCAUUUGUGCCUUCUCCUAUUGUUUUACAUCAUUUGGAAACUGACCAUUCUAUCUUAAUUCUUGCCAUCUGUCAUUAUUGCUGUGUUAGUCUUUUCCUCUUAUCAUGUUACUGAUGCUUUUUGAGUGUCAUAUAAAAGUUCUGUUAAAUGUAUCCUAUAUGCACUUCUACACUCCACUAGCUUUUCUAACUAUGGUUUGUAAGCAAAUUCUUGGUUGCUAGUAAUUGAAAACAUUACUUUAAAUUAAUAGUAGUAAUAGUGUUUUCUUGCCUAGUGCUGAACUGUUUUUCAUUGAUCUAAAGUAAUAAAAUAUCUAUAAUCUUAAAUAGACAAAGAAUUGCCUGGGGUCAUCUUAGAUACUCAAGGAGACAACCUUUUUCACUAGCUUAUACAUACCUCCAUUGGUUGACCACAUGAUGACCAUAUUACCUGAUUUUCAAACCUCAAAAAAUUGAUAAGUAAACUAUUAAACAAAGUAUAAUUUUUUAUCUGGAUAAUGGAUAAAGAUUGGAAAUGGAAGUACAAAUAGAGAUUGAAUAUGUGAAGCCCGGAUCAAGUAAAAUUUUUUUUUUCUACAGUUCAGUUUAUUUUUAUAACUUUAAAACAUCAGUCUGUUAAACAGCCAUCGACAACGAUAAGUGUACACGUGUUUAAACAGUUAGAACUCUGACCGCAACCGAACUAAACUGAAGAUCCGAU